rnacentral:rRNA from 1 species
AGUGAACGCUGGCGGUAGGCCUAACACAUGCAAGUCGAACGGCAGCACAGUAAGAGCUUGCUCUUACGGGUGGCGAGUGGCGGACGGGUGAGGAAUACAUCGGAAUCUACUUUUUCGUGGGGGAUAACGUAGGGAAACUUACGCUAAUACCGCAUCCGACCUACGGGUGAAAGCAGGGGAUCUUCGGAACUUGCGCGAUUGAAUGAGCCGAUGUCGGCUUAGCUAGUUGGCUGGGUAAAGGCCCACCAAGGCGACGAUCCGUAGCUGGUCUGAGAGGAUGAUCGGCCACACUGGAACUGAGACACGGUCCAGACUCCUACGGGAGGCAGCAGUGGGGAAUAUGGGACAAUGGGCGCAAGCCUGAUCCAGCCAUACCGCGUGGGUGAAGAAGGCCUUCGGGUUGUAAAGCCCUUUUGUUGGGAAAGAAAAGCAGCAGGUUAAUACCCCGCUGUGCUGACGGUACCCAAAGAAUAAGCACCGGCUAACUUCGUG